rnacentral:lncRNA from 7 species
UUCUCUGGCCAGACCUUUCUGGGUGACAGACAACAGCAACAUGAAGAAAAGGAAACAUCUGAAGUGAGUGUCCUGAAAUGGGGAAAUCAGAAGAUCACCCCAAAUGACACCAUGGACAGCCGAGGCUCUAAACUCAGGUGAAGUUGGGUUUUACUUGGGAGAACUCCCUUUAGAAAAAUUGUAUUGUAAGAAACCUAUGUUGAUGAGGGUUGCUGUGGAAAACAAACGGUCCCCAAAACUAUGUUUUUCUGUUUAACCAAAAAAACCAAACCAAAACUGAACUUAUCUUUUUGAUCUUUCAGAAUUCAUAUUUUGUUACCCAAUGGCACAAGCACUUCUCUCCUUUAAAACACUCCUAAUUGUGGUUUUGAGUUUGUUUCAACAAGAAACUUACUGAUUGAUCAAUCAAAGGUAUUUGUAAAGAAUAAUUUGUUUGAGUUUUGCCAGCUUGGUCCCUAACAUCUCACAUAGCACAACUCUUGUAGCAUGUAGAUAAUGGAAGUGAAUGAGUAAUUUCAAUUUCGAGGUCAACAGGGUGUUUUGUGCCUAGACCCUGUUGCUGUUUGAUGCUGCUGGACCCAUCAAGCCAGAAUGCAUAUUUAAAAAGACGGAAAUCGAAGACACCUAACCAUUACUUAAUGAUAUACACAUGUCAGCUGCCAAAGGAGCAUCCCCCUGAUGUCUGGGGUGUAAAUGCAGCCGUGUCUUGAGACUGGGACAAGAGGUGCUAUCAAGACAGCAUUCAUCAGGGGCUGAGAAGGGAGUUUUGAAUCACUAGCAAGUUUGCUGCAUCGACACCAUCACCCAGUCCUGUUGCCACUCGUUUUCUUUCCCCCCAUCCUCACAGAGAUGCUACAAGGAUUUAGUGGUCUAUCUGUCUGGCUGCAAGAGCUUGGAGUCAAAUGUCUACUCAGCAUGCAGUUCUACAAGACACAAGCAAUGGAAUACUGAGAAAGUUUUGAAUGGAUCCGGUUCUGGGAGCUGAGCUGCUCCUGUGUAGCAGGGGAAACUUGGAGAGAGGAGAGACCAGAGGAAGAAACAGAGAACCUAUUCCAAAAUCAGCCUGCUGAUUUCACAGAUUGAUGCUCUAAGAGGAAGAUGAUAACGAUCAAAAUAAACAAGCAAGUCAAACUCCAGCUCUGUGGAUGAGAGCCUCAGUUCUCCAGACUCUUACUGAUACUUUUCUGCUCAGGAAAGCCUUGCUCACUUUGCCAUGAGUGAUUCCUGAAGACAAGUUGUACCGGCACUCAUUAUGUCCUUCCUGCUCUUCCUCUGGAAAGAUCCAGUUCCUCGUAAUCAUUCUGAAUCUCAGCACACAGCCAUGGGACAUGCCUCCCAUCCUCUGCUAAGAUGUAAUGAUGAAAUAACAUAUAUAAGACUUCAAAAUAAUGGAUAAAUUCUUCCUUCAGAAUAACCCAGUCGUUUCUUUAUAGAAAGAGUUUCAGGAACAGUGAAAGACGUGAACCCAUAUCAUUAGAAGAGCUGACUGCAGUAACUCUUGAUGACGUGCUUGCUAUUCCAGACCGUAUCCCAUCCAACGAAGAACACUGUCCUGCAGAGCUUACACUCAAACCCAAUGAAAUGCGCAUGCUUACAAAGGUACCGCAGAACUAAAUAAUACACUGAUGUGCUUCCAGAAUCUUUCUGGCAACAGCUUUUUAAACAUUAAAGGUAGAGUUUUGUAUUUACACUGCAGUUUAUGGAUAGCCAUAAACAUUAUAGAAGACAUUUCCUAGCUGUGAAAGGGCUGAAGAUCUAAAUCUACCUUACCUCUUUUAAUUUAUUUUGCGCCAUAAAUGAUGUUGAAAUAUACUGAAUUUAACAACUUUCAAAUAGUUUCUGUACUUCGCUUGUGUAUUUUAGAAAAGUAAAUCGUAUAAACGCACUUCCCCCCCAGUCAGAAGUAAGUAUGACAUCAUAUAAAGGGAAUGU